rnacentral:misc_RNA from 1 species
CGAGAGCAUUUGGCUGUUGAUCGUCUUUCCUUUUCGUUCCAUUUAUAUUUAGUGAAAAAUAUUAAAUAUAUUUUGGAACUUCCCUUCCCCCUUCAACAGUUAUGAUUAUUAGAAUAUCAUGGCUUCUGCAAGCAUUCGUUUCCAUACUUAUUGCAGUGAUAUCAGGUAGCCCUAUAUUCUUUCAGGAGAACGGUAGAUAUGGAAAAGCUUUAAUAAAAUGGAGGCCACCUAUGGACAAUUGGAAUUGGACAGAGUCUCCUCGCCACGAGGAGCCAUUUUUCAUGCCUGCCAACUUUACACACAAACUACCGCCUUCAGCCAACGAAACAGAACUGAUAGCACAUAUGGCUGCUUUAAAAAGAAAUUAUUCCCGACUCCUAUGGGAUAGCGACAAGAGCUCCAACUUGCCACUAUUCGUGGAUAAAGCAUUAAAAUUACUAAAUUUAAAACAGGUCUACUAUGAAGUGGAAACCUCCGUUAUGUCGAAAGUGUCGUGUACGGCAUGUAAGGCGGGAGCAGGCUUAUUACAGCACUAUAUCAAGCUCGGCAAGAGCAAAGAAGAAAUUAUCAAAAUGAUCUUUCAAUUUUGCGUUUCGCUCAACAUUCAGUCGACACGAGUGUGUGAAGGCGUAACGAGACUUUUUGGAAGUGAGGUCGUAUACGUUUUAAAGCGUAUAACAAUUGGUCCUAACGAAAUAUGCAGUUUCGUAAUAGGUGACGCUUGUGGCGAUGUCUACAACCCAUACCACGAUUGGGAAGUAUCGUUCCCGCCGGUACCGAAGCCUCUUGUUCGACCUCUGAACGUCCCGGUGGAUAAAGCUCCGACAUUCAAAGUCUUACAAAUAUCUGAUACUCACUUUGAUCCUUACUAUGCAGAAGGUGCUAAUGCGGAAUGCAACGAGCCCUUAUGCUGUCGGGCUUCCAGCGGCCCUGUGAUGACGCCGGGCGGAGGCGCCGGCCGUUGGGGAGAUUACCGCAAGUGCGACACUCCUAAACGGACUAUAGACCACAUGCUCAAGCAUAUUGCGGACACACACAAUGAUAUUGAUUACAUAUUAUGGACAGGCGAUCUGCCACCUCAUGAUGUGUGGAAUCAAACGAGAGAGGAAAAUCUUAAAGUUCUACAAGAGACUGUCGCUCAGAUGUCCGACAUGUUCCCUGGUGUCCCUAUAUUCCCUGCUCUUGGUAAUCACGAGGCUUCCCCGGUUAACAGUUUUCCGCCGCCUUUUAUCUCGUCUUCGGAGUCUAGCAUCUCCUGGCUUUACAAUGAGCUUGACGCGCAAUGGCGAAGGUGGCUGCCGGCUGGCGUCUCGCAUACGGUCCGCCGCGGGGCCUUCUACUCCGUCCUCGUGCGCCCUGGGUUUCGCAUCAUAUCGCUCAACAUGAACUACUGUAACAAUAAGAACUGGUGGUUACUAAUGAAUAGUACUGAUCCUGCGACGGAGUUGCAGUGGCUCAUAUACGAAUUGCAAUCAGCAGAAUUCAGCGGUGAAAAAGUCCAUCUGAUAGGCCACAUACCACCAGGUCAUUCGGACUGCCUAAAAAUAUGGAGUAGGAAUUACUAUGCAAUCAUCAACCGAUACGAAUCGACAAUUACCGCUCAGUUUUUCGGACACACUCAUUACGAUGAGUUUGAAGUUUUUUAUGAUCCGAAUGAUCUUGGUAGAGCUACAAGUAUAGCUUACGUCGGCCCUUCAGUAUCACCGUACUAUGACCUGAAUCUGGGGUACAGAAUAUAUUACGUUGACGGUGACCACGAUGCAACAACGAGACAAGUAAUCGACCACGAGACCUGGAUCAUGAACCUCAAGGAGGCCAACCUGUUCGGGUACCCGAUCUGGUACAAGCUGUACUCCGCACGGUCAGCAUACUCCAUGCAGGCGCUGCGGCCGCUCGACUGGGACAAGUUUAUUGACGAGAUGACCGGGCGCGAUGACUUGUUCAACUUAUAUUACAAACACUACUGGAAGAACAGUCCUCGGCGAGGAACCUGCGAUGGGGAAUGUCGGAAGCGACUCCUUUGCGACGCUCGAUCCGGACGAUCGCAUGACCGCCGAGCGCUGUGUGGGCAAAUCGAAGCCCGCAUCGAUGGCGCUGCGCCGGCGCCGCAAACAUGGCGUGCUUGGUUCUACAACGGACUCUCUGUUUCCCCUAGUGUACAGCAAGUAUGAUCGGUGAUGGAUUUACUUAAUUCUGUCGCGCACGCCAACUACCUAUUAAGGAUGUCAAUGAUAAUGAAAUUACCCGAAGUCGCGUAUCAAAUACCAAAGUUUGUGAUGGGACUUGGCUGACAGAUAUGUCCGUGAU